rnacentral:lncRNA from 1 species
CCCGUUCCGCCUUGACCACAUGGUUGUGGUGGUCUUCUGCUCCACCCUGGGGGACUCCGGCCUCGACCACAAGGAUGUGGUGGUCUUCUGUUCUGCCCUGGGGGGCAUCAGUCCUGACCAAACGGAGGUGGUGGUCUUCUGCUCCGCCCUGGUGGGCGUCACGUGAUGUCCUUCAUGUACUUACGUUUUUUUUUUUUUUCUGUCUCCUCCUAUUGACCUGGCCCUCCGUCCCUCCCCCUGACCCUCCGCCGGUCCACAUCCCUCCUGGGUUUCUAGUCUGUGUCUGUCAUUCCGUUUCCCUCUAGGACCUGGCCCUCCAUCCCUCCCCCUGAUCCUCCGCCGGUCCACCACCUCCUGGACUCCUUGUUUUGUGUUGCACUUCUCUUGUCUCGGUUUCCCCAUUUUACCUGGUUGUCUUGUCUCUGUUUCCCCAUUUUACCUGGUUGUCUUGUCUCUGUUUCCCCAUUCUACCUGGUUGUCUUGUCUCUGUUUCCCCAUUCUAACUGGUCCUCUUGUCCAUGUUUCCCCCAUUUUACCUGGCCCUCCAUCCCUCCCCCUAGUCCUCCGCCACUCCACCUCCCUCUUGGUCUCUUUGUUUGUUUGGUUUUCCCUUGGGUUCGGGUGGAGCAUCUGGCAGCUGCUCCGUGGAGGAGGGGGUAAUGUCACACUGUCUAGUCUCUGUUUCCCUGGGUGUCCACUAGUGGGCUCACUUCCCCUUAGGCACUUCACCAUAGGCACAAGAAUUCCUCUAGUCUGGUCUUGUCUUCACAGUAAUUGCACUCCAGCUGAUUGCACCAGGUGCAGGCAAUCUAUUGUCAUUAGCCUCCUUAUAAAUACCAGUCUUUCCCUGUUGUUUGUAAGGAGUCCUUACCAUUCGUAUACCAGCUUUCUCGUAUUCCGAGUUCUUUCCUCAUUUUCUCGUCCUCCGAGUUCCCAUUCCUUCCCUUUCGUGUUCCCUUCCUUGUUUGUUUAUUUUGUUUGUUUUGGAUUGCUGUAUUGGUUUUUACCCUGGCUUAUGUUUGACCAAGGUUUGGGUUACCCUAUACAAUAAACAUCUGCGAUUGGAUCUCUCGC